rnacentral:rRNA from 1 species
UACGGGGGGGGUAAGCGUUGUUCGGAAUUACUGGGCGUAAAGGGCUCGUAGGCGGCCAACUAAGUCAGACGUGAAAUCCCUCAGCUUAACUGGGGAACUGCGUCUGAUACUGGAUGGCUUGGAUUUGGGAGAGGGAUGCGGAAUUCCAGGUGUAGCGGUGAAAUGCGUAGAUAUCUGGAGGAACACCGGUGGCGAAGGCGGCAUCCUGGACCAAUAUGGACGCUGAGGAGCGAAAGCCAGGGGAGCAAACGGG